UAACUGCCCAAGAGAUCGGGAUAACACCUGGAAACAGAUGCUAAUACCGGAUAACAACAGAUGAUGCCUAUCAACUGUUUAAAAGAUGGUUCUGCUAUCACUCUUGGAUGGACCUGCGGUGCAUUAGCUAGUUGGUAGGGUAACGGCCUACCAAGGCGAUGAUGCAUAGCCGAGUUGAGAGACUGAUCGGCCACAUUGGGACUGAGACACGGCCCAAACUCCUACGGGAGGCAGCAGCA
rnacentral:rRNA from 1 species